rnacentral:rRNA from 1 species
UACAGGGGGUGCAAACGUUGCUCGGAAUCAUUGGGCGUAAAGCGCACGUAGGCGGUUCGUUAUGUCGGAUGUGAAAGCCCUUGGCUUAACCGAGGAAGUGCAUCCGAAACUGGCGAGCUAGAGUACUAAAGAGGAUCGCGGAAUUCCCCGGUGUAGAGGUGAAAUUCGUAGAUAUCGUAAGGAAGACCAGUGGCGAAGGCGGGUCGCUGGACAGUUCCUGACGCUGAGGGCACGAAGGUCAGGGGAGUCAAACGGG